rnacentral:rRNA from 1 species
UACGAAGGGGGCUAGCGUUGCUCGGAAUUACUGGGCGUAAAGGGCGCGUAGGCGGCACUGUUAGUCAGGCGUGAAAGUCCUGGGCUCAACCUGGGAACUGCGCUUGAUACGGCAGAGCUAGAGGAUGGAAGAGGCUCGCGGAAUUCCCAGUGUAGAGGUGAAAUUCGUAGAUAUUGGAAGACCACCAGUGGCGAAGGCGGCUUGCCAGAACGCGCUCGACGGUGAGGGAUGAAAGCUGGGGGAGCAAACCGG